rnacentral:rRNA from 1 species
CCCGCACAAGCGGUGGAGCAUGUGGUUAAUUCGACGCAACGCGAAGAACCUUACCAGGGCUUGACAUCCCCUGACCGCGUAUGAAAGUACGUUUUCACCCUCGGGUGACAGGGAGACAGGUGGUGCAUGGUUGUCGUCAGCUCGUGUCGUGAGAUGUUGGGUUAAGUCCCGCGACGAGCGCAACCCCUACGUUUAGUUGCUAACAGGUGAAGCUGAGCACUCUAGACGAACUGCCGUUGACAAAACGGAGGAAGGUGGGGAUGACGUCAAAUCAUCAUGCCCCUUAUGUUCUGGGCUACACACGUGCUACAAUGGCCGGUACAGACGGAGGCGAAGCCGCGAGGCGGAGCAAAUCCGAAAAAGCCGGUCUCAGUUCAGAUUGUAGGCUGCAACUCGCCUGCAUGAAGCUGGAGUUGCUAGUAACCGCGCGUCAGCUAUAGUGCGGUGAAUACGUUCCCGGGGCUU